ensembl:lncRNA
GUUGUGAUGCAACAACAAACAACCCCAUAUUCUCAUAACAAAAGAUAUUUAUCUUUUGUUCAUAUUGUGUACAUCAUGAAUUGGCUGCUAUUUCAUGCAGACCCAAGGAAUAGGCCCUGUUUGGUACAUGGAGGUGUCACAGUGAAGGAAAAGAGCAAAGGUGGAAAGAUCAGAUGGCUCUUUGGUUCUGCUUGGAAUUGGUACAUAUCGCCUAUGCUCACCCUCUAUUAGCCAGUGGAAGUCAAUGGCCAAGGCAAAUUGCAAAUUCCUUUUAUAAGCUCCACAGGCACAGGGAGCAAAUAUUCUAGACAACAGUAUAGGCUGUUUAAAGGAGUCUGUCUUUGCCCUCAAAGUCAUGACCCUCAGAGCCAGGGGCUUGGCCUUGAAUCAUUACCUUUUCAAGAAGUUUUUGUCAAGACACAAAGGAAGACCAUACAGAGAAAGAGUUAAAGAGGGAAAAUUGUUGGAUUCUGAUAACUGGCUUGAUGAGCAGCAGGGGUGGAUGCUAAUAAAGUCCAAGAGAAAACAGAAGUUCAGGGGCGACUUCUAAGAUCCCACCUUGGGCGAUUGAUGAAUAAGAGUAGCUACAAUUGAGGAAACUGUUAAACAGGAUCCAAGCCCUUUGCCUCCACAGCCCACACUGUAACCACUUCUGCUGCUCUUAGUGGAGCUAUCGAGAGAAUGAGGCAGCAUGGAUGGAAAGAAAAGAGAAGAGCCGAGCCUGGGUCAGGGUUUUAAAUAUUCAUAUUAAGAACAUGAUGGUGGGCCGGGGAUUUAGCUCAGUGGUUCCACCACCUGCUCCACAAGCGCAAGGUCCCGAGUUCCAUCCCCGGUACCAAAAAAAAAGAAAGAAGACAAAUGAAGACCUCAGAGUGUAUCACCCUCAAAAGUCAAGUGUGCAGUGUGGACUCCAGUCAGGGACAGCAGGGUGCUCCGAGGGCACAGCUGGGAAAGGUCCACUGGUGUUGACAGUUGCUGCAGAAGGGGCUGCUGUUGCGAGGUCGCAGCUUGCUGGUCAGGCCUGGUCCAGCCUUACAGUGCCUGCUGUCAAGCACAAGCUCGCUGUCUUCAGCAUCUGCCCAGUUACCAUGCUUUUAAAUCCAGCUCCUAAGUCUGAGGUUUACAUCUGGGAGUGGGAAGACAUUUAUGUAAACGGGACUUCUCAUUGCUGCUGGAAAAGGAGAAUGCUGGAGAGUAGCCCAACGACUGCCCGGAAACCUACACUGUGGACACCGCUAGGAGUCUCAAAACCCUGACAGACCAACAGGCAGGAGCUCUCGCUAUGUGAAGGGUGGCCACUCUUCACUCCAGCGUCAGAGAAGACAGAAACCCAGAUCUGCCUCGAGCUUAGCAACCUGACUGGAAUGAACUGGUAUUAUGGAACCCCUGUGAAGUGAGGGUACCAGAAUCCUCAGCGUCUCUGUAUUUGUGUUAGGUUGGAGUCUGCACCCAUAGGUCCCCUCUGGUGGCCACAUCCC